ensembl:lncRNA
CGUCAUGCGUGUGUGCACACGGUCCUGUUUCCGCUGAGUAGCUCUCUUAGAAAUGAGCCUCAUCGUGAGGUCCUCGAGAUUUUUCCAUCAGAUUUUUAAAGUACGCCCAGAGCCUGGCCCAGGAUGUACCUUGUGUGUAUGUUGCAUGUCAGUUAGCUGCUUGACACUCAGAACCUGCUGCAAGAAUUGGCUCACGUACACUGGAAAGUAAGAUACUGCAAACACUGGCCUCAGCUCUGGUGGUUUGCAUCAUGACUGGCGAGAAGAAGUGGGCCGUUCCCGUGGACAGGAAGGUGGGCCGGAGUGGUCUCGGGGGCCAGUGUUCCCUCCCUCUCCGAGGGGUGCUGAGGCAGAGCGGCGGCCACCGGGCUCCCUGGCUGGGUGGCCCUCUGCGUGAGCGUCAUCCGUAGACCCGAACUUCGGGGUGGGAGAAAGUGUUCGUUUGCAGCACCUUUAGCCGUGGUGGCUUAGGCUUUAUCCCUCAGCCUCAUGGUGUCCCUUGCGGAGGGACUGGGGUCGGACGGGGGCAGCGUACGUGUCUGCAGACGUCCACCCAUUCGUCUGCCUGGAGCGCAGCCUCAGCUCAUAGAGCGGCCCCGUGAUGGGGAGGCCACCUGGGAACUGCUCCGGGGCUGCCGCCUUCAGCAACUGUGCGUGUGAAGAGGUGGCGCCUCCGACGCUGUUCACCUGGAGGUGGGGACGAGGGUGGCUGGACCUGCUGCUGGGCGGGUGACAUUGGCUGGACUUCAGGGACAACUGUGGCGUCUCCUUGGCUGCAGGCUUCCGGAAGAUGAGACUUCUGUAUCUGAGAGAGGGAGCCUGGGCGUCCCGGACAGGGUCCUUCCAGACCCGAGUCCGAGGCCACCGCAGAGCAGCACGAGGCGUGGGAGCCGGGAUCUGGCUGGGGCUCCGUCUUUCUUUUCUGUCCCUAAGGCAAGCCUGAGCCCGGGCUGGGCUCCUCGUGAGCGCUGUUUCUCUCGCAGAGAGAACGUCUUGACCUGACCCUCUAGGACGGGUAGGGUUGCAGACAAGCAGGGGAGACAGCACACCGCCCUCGUCCCUGCCAGGAAGGAGCCCCGAGCGGCUCUGAUCCUGCAUUUGCAUCAGCACCGCCGCCAGCCCUGCCGACUCCUUCCAGUUGUAGGGACCUUUGACAGACACGUGAGGCGUGAGGGAGAGUGUGUGUGGUGGGGGGUGGGGGGGCAGAACAGGAGGCUCCCCGGGCAGGGCCGGAGGUCGUUGGCUGGGAAAAGGCCGGAGAUGGAAGAUGACAGUCUCGGGGCAGGGGGGUCCCUCGCUCUGGCCCCCCCGGCAUUGCGGGUGUGUGUCGAAAUGGGCACACUCUUUAGCGUGACCCGGGGCCAAGAUCAAGCAGCUCAUCACCAAGUGAAGGCUGUAUUAGAUGCAGAAAGUCCACAUCCUCCGUCUCACGCUGCCUGCGGAUUUAGCACCUAAAGGCGGGCCAGGUGGGAAACCUUCCCCUGGGCGCCCCUGUGUGUCACGUCGCGCUUCUUUUCCCUCUUUCGCUCUAUCCCCUUUCUUUUCUGCUCCCCGCUCGCACUCCCUGCGUAGGUACACGGGAGCACUUGUCCUUGGGUUUGUCUGUGUUGUCGUGUCUUGGGGUACAGCUCUUCCAGUGCCUCUGACGUGGCGGAAUGGCUUACUUUCACGUCCGAUGUGAACAGAGCCCAGGCUCGCUGCAGAGGUGAGCCGUCUCUGCGAGGGCGCAGCUCCCCACCUGGUCCUGGGGCGGGUCGUGCAGACCCCUCAGGAGAUGGAACUCGAGGGUGACCUCGCGGGGCCAGCUCGGCGCCCGUCAUGCCUCCUCUCUGGGUGGGGUUGCUCACCCCUCAAUCCCACAGCCCUGUGAGCUGUUUCUUCUUCUCAGCUUGAACCCUGAGAAGUGGCCUUGAACGUCUGAGACCACGCGUCCCCUGCCAGGUGAAGAGGAGGCCGAGAGGGAAGAGAGGGCCUGGGAUGGGGAAGAAGGGAACACGGGCUUCUGGCCGCUGGCCUCUCUCCAAGACAGGUGGACUCUGCGUUCAGAAAGGAGCUCCUUUCAUCUCUCGGCCCUAAAUGGCCGCUCUUUGCGUUUUCUCUCCUUCUCGCUUUCCCUCCUCCCUCUCCCUCGCUCCCUCCCCACCCCCACCCUGGCCUCCAAAAGAAUUUAAUCUGCUGGACAACAAACAAUACUGUUAUAAAACUUUGAAAACAAGAGGGCGAGGCCUCCCUGACAAGGAGAAGGGCAUGCCGGGUAAGAGCCCAGGGAGCCUGCCAGGCCCGAGACGGAGCCAGGCCAGAGCCCAGUGGGCUGGGCACCUGGGCGCCCGCCCCCUGCCCAGCCCACCAGCCGUGCCAUCCCCGGUCCAGAGGGGAAGGAACCGAAACCAAAGUCUUGGGGCGAGAAGCGCUCGAAAAGGGGAAGUGGUCCUGAGACUGGCAGGCAGAGGUCCUGAUAACAGAGCGAGGCUGGCACAGCUGUGUGGGUACAGCCGGCCGGGCCGGCUGCAGGGGAAGCAGGAGAGAAAGGGGUUCCGAGUUGGCCUCGGCUUCCAGACCUGCCCUCUGUCCGCCCAGCCUCCCCUCCCCCCACCUAGGGAAGUGGAACCAGGUCAGGGGGCGGGGCGGGGCGGGCCCGGGUCCACGUGCUUCUCCAGGUGUGUCCCCAGGUACCGGGUAGAACUGCGGCUGGGAGGUUAGUGGGUACGCGCCAGGCUUCCUGGUGCCCGCCAGGGGCCGUGCUCCCCGGAGGAUGUGACCCGAGGAGAGGCUCUGCUCCCCUUCCAGAAGGGCUGGGAGAUGUGCCUGUGGCCAGGCACACCUCUGGAAAGGCUCCUGGGGACAGAAACCUGCUUCUCCCACCAACAGGUGUGCGGUCCUUUGAGUGGGGCUCCCGGUGGGAUCUUGCACCUGCGAGUGACUCCUGGUGGCGGAAGGAGGGGGUGACCCAGCCCUGCCUGGGAAGAUGGGGAAGCUGGGCUCUGGGCAUCUCUCCCCCAGCGUCCAGAGUUAGACCUCACCUGAGCCUAAAGUGUCACUUCCGAGUCCAGCUUCCGGGGGUCAAGUGGAUGCUUUGAGGGACGGGCAGCAGUGUUGGUGGUUCUCCUUCAGAUCUGCCUUGCUUUGGACCCGUGAACUGCGGUGAGCGCUGUGCGUGUGUGUGCGUGUGUCUGUGCGCCCGUGGUAGACCUGGGCACACUCCCUCUCCCACUUGUGGAAAAGCACCCCCUCCCUGAGAGUAGGUCAGGGCUGUGCCCACCUUCUGCCUGGGUUCAGCCAUGCGUGAGGAGCGGGGAGGCAGCCUGGAUCCUGCCUUCACCCCCUGCCUCUUCCUCCCCUUCGCUGCCACCUCUCCUGCCGCCCUCCCAGGCCCCGCGGCAUCCCCCGGGCAGGGUACGCAUGUGCCCCCUCCUGGCCAGCCGGCCAUCCCGACGAGGCCCUCUCUGCCCGUCCUGAGUCUGGGGGGUCGCGAGACCUCCAAACCCAGGUUUUUGCUGGUGGUGCGGAGGAAGGGCCCGAGGGCUCCAUGCUCCUGCCCCAAGAAGAAUCAGGAUUUUGCUGACACGGGGCCUCCGAGGAAGCCGAGGCGGUGGUGACUUUUUGCCCCGUUACCGCGACAGGCAUUUGGGGGUUUCACUGCAUCUGGAGCGUGUCAUCCCCACUUUGGGAUCCGGGGCCUGGGAAGUGCGGCGAUCCCUGGAAGCUGAGCCCCACUUUGGGGCUGAAAGAGCCAGCUCCCCGUUCCCCCCACCCAGCCCCCUACACACAGAUCGUUCAUUUUAUCACCCUGUCCUCUGAUUCAUUAACCGCAGCUCGUUGGCAGCAGGCCCCACCCUGACAGCUCAGGACAAAGCGUGCAGGGCCCUGGGCUGGGGCUGAGUGACACGACGCUGGGCCAGGCCUCUCUGUGCAAAGCACAAUGGUCUGGGGCGCACACAAGGGCACACCCCUGGUCCCCUUUUUCAAAAGGACCUUCUCUGGCCCCUCUCUCCCCCGGAUGACUCUUCCUCGCUACCAGGAGCCCCGAAACCAGCAUUCCCAGUGGCAGGAAGAUGGAUGACCAGGCUCCACUUCCCUGGCUCCUCCCCCACUCUGGCUGGAACUUGCGUCAGGCCCGUAAGUCGCUGUGACUCAGCACCCAGCCGGUGGGGAGGGAGGGAGAAGCUGCCGCCUCGCAGGAACCUUCCUGGCGUUCUGGAUUUGAACACACGGUGGUAGCGCAGAACCAGCCAGCAGCAUUCUGUUCUCAGAGGCCAAUAUCUGUUUGUUCUGUGGAUUUGCACACGGAUUUCACAAACAAGGGUUCACUUCCUUCUUGCUUUCCUUCUAUGUUAUUUGGGGGUGGGGGUGGCACCACGCGGGCCAUCGGAUUUUGGGGACUUGAAACGACACAGACGGCGUCGUUUCUAGGCUGCAGGAGAAGCUCUCCUUGCCAUCUAGAUUCGUGUUUAACCCCCAGAUGUUUGGUUUCCUUUUAAAAACCGUGUCAGACUCUGCAUGCCUUUAGACAAAACAUGGCCCGUCCGGGUCACUUAUUUCUGCUGCACGUUGUUGCUGCUUCUGUGUCUUCAGCUUCCUGCCCGACCCCUCUGUGCAUUUGAACAUGUCGUGACGGGCCUGUGCCAGCCCCGCUCUUUCGGGAUGGACACUCCCAGGCCCGUUCCAGGAAAGCACAGGCCAGUCCCCGGAGCCCGGACUGAGCAGGAGUCCAGCUUGCUGUGUUCCAACCCCCUGUGCGGGUCAGGGGGACCUUUCCUCCACCCUUGGGUCCCUGCCCAGGCGGAGCAGUGGAAACACCUCCAAAGAAAAUAUAGGCAUAGAAGUAGCCUUGGGUGACACUGUGGCCCCCAGACCCUCUUCCUGCCCAGCGGUACCUGCAAUGCUGACAAUCCGGCCGGAGGAUCCUGCCCCUGCCUUUGCCAGCAGAGCCCUGGGGGGGCCGGGGCUGCUGCUUCCAGAUCAGGGUGACCCUCGGGGUGGGUGCCAAGAAGAGCAAGCCACUUCCAGCUGCACCUCACCACCUGGCCACAUGCAACUAGGGAACAAAUGCAGCCGCUGGUUUCGGUGAGUCACUGCUCGGCUGACUUGGAGAGAGAAGCCUGGUGCUGUUGGGGGGCUGCGACCGCAGCAGGCCCUUUUAUCCGGGGGACUGGAGGGUGGAGGCUUCGGGUCCUAAGAUGCUUCCCCCCACCCCCCUUCUUUUGGAAUGUUUACAGUGAUGCAUUCUUAAUGACUUUUGUCUCUUCUUCCAGAGAACUAGGAGCAUUUUAGAACUCACGAGUAGGGCGCCCAACCUCUGGUUCCUGUCUCUAAGCUCCCUGGGCGCAGCCUCCCCUCUGGACUCAGGGCGGACGCUUCCUGGGUGGUAGGGGAGACGUGACCGGACGACCUCGGUGUGCUCUGAAGGAAAAGCAGCGUCACCAAGAGCCAGCCCAGACCGGGAGCUCUCCCAGGACAGGCUGGCUGGGCGAGCCCUGGAGGCGGCUCCAGGCCACCAGGCUUCCUUGGGGGAGGGGCUGGGGGAGGGCUGGUGUCACGGGAGAGUGGAUGCAGAGCAUCCCAGGACGAGGGAACCGCAUGUGCCAAGGCCUCGCGGUGGAGGAGGAGGCAGUCUGGAUCACCCAGCGACUCCUGGGGCCACAUCUUAGGAUAGGGUUUGUGGGGAGGGGCAUUGGGCAUUGCCAAGGCAGGCGUUUGGCUGACGUGCCGAGCAGGAAAGCUGGGAGUGACCAAGUGCCACUCUCCGACCCCCUCGUGUCUAUAGGAGUCAGGCCCUACCGCAAAACAGUCAUUAGCCCUCACUCCUGACCCUCAAGCCUUAGCAGUCACCUGACCCACAACCGCUCCUGCCCUGCUGAUGGCAGGGGUCCUCACUCUGAGCCCUGCAGGCAGUGCCCACCCCCAGCCCCAGUUCUCUUAUCUGUGACCAGGACCUCGCUAAACACCAGGGGCUGCAGAGCUCAGCGUGGACGUCAGGAUCCCUCAGGCGAGCAGCCCCAGCGCUGCAGGGCGCUCAUCCCAGAGGCUUGCCCACUCCUGCAGCCGCGUGGUGGAGACGGCAGAGGCGCCAGAGGUGCAGGAGAAGUACGUAUCAGAGCCCCCGGCCCUGGCAGGACCAGGCGUGCGUCCACCUCCGCGGGGGUUUAACAGGUUGUGCGGUCAGCAGGGUCCCCUUCCACGCAGAGGUAGGUAUGGUCGCGGAUUCCGCCUGCACUCAGUCCUGCUCAAAAUGAAGUUCAGGAGCAGAAUGAGGUGAUAGUCCGGCCACAGAGCAGGCGUCAGUGGGCAGGGGGCAGGAACACAGACUUUGGCCUUAGACCUGGAGCCCCACCGUUCACCAGUCAUGGGACUGUGGGCAGGUUUUUGCACAGCGCUGAGGCUCUGUCCUUCUCCUGCAGAAGUGGGAAUGAGACUUGCUCUGCCAGACUGUUGGGGGGUGUCAGGAGCACAGCUUGGUGUUCAGAUUUUAUUUCCUCCUCUUCCCUAGAGCAGUGCAUGAUGUUAUUUCCAGGAGGCAUAAAAAUACAAGCCUCUCUCUAGAGACCUAGAGAAUUAGGAGGGGAUCUGAGAGAUACAGCUUCUGUGUCUCGUCUUUCUCCUGGUUAUGGAAUCAGGAGCAAAAUGCACACAUAGCUUCUUAACUUCAAACUACUGAAAAAGGUGAUGCAGAUAGGAGGUGGGAAAUCUAAUUUGAACACCAUUUGCAAAUCUUUUAAGACAGAAUUUGAAGACAACACAGAACAAAACCUCAUUUUUUGUGUGUGUGUGUGUCUUUUUGCCUUUUCUAGGGCCGCACCCGCAGCAUAUGGAGAUUCACAGGCUAGGGGU